CGUGGGGCAGCAUGACUGUAGCAAUACAGAUUGAUGGCGACCGGCAAACGGGUGCGGAACACGUACACAACCUUCCUUUAAGUGGGGAAUAGCCCAGGGAAACUUGGAUUAAUACCCCGUAAUAUAUAGAAGUGGCAUCACUUUUAUAUUAUAGCAGCAAUGCGCUUGAAGAUGGGUGUGCGGCUGAUUAGAUAGUUGGCGGGGUAACGGCCCACCAAGUCGACGAUCAGUAACUGGUGUGAGAGCACGACCAGUCACACGGGCACUGAGACACGGGCCCGACUCCUACGGGAGGCAGCAGUAAGGAAUAUUGGUCAAUGGACGCAAGUCUGAACCAGCCAUGCCGCGUGGAGGAUGAAGGUCCUCUGGAUUGUAAACUUCUUUUAUCUGGGAAGAAAUCCAUUUUUUCUAAAAUGGUUGACGGUACCAGAUGAAUAAGCACCGGCUAACUCCGUGCCAGCAGCCGCGGUAAUACGGAGGGUGCAAGCGUUAUCCGGAUUCACUGGGUUUAAAGGGUGCGUAGGUGGGCAAGUAAGUCAGUGGUGAAAUCUCCGGGCUUAACCCGGAAACUGCCAUUGAUACUAUUUGUCUUGAAUACUGUGGAGGUCAGCGGAAUAUGUCAUGUAGCGGUGAAAUGCUUAGAUAUGACAUAGAACACCAAUUGCGAAGGCAGCUGGCUACACAAAUAUUGACACUGAGGCACGAAAGCGUGGGGAUCAAACAGGAUUAGAUACCCUGGUAGUCCACGCCCUAAACUAUGGAUACUCGACAUUUGCGAUAAACUGCAAGUGUCUGAGCGAAAGCAUUAAGUAU
rnacentral:rRNA from 1 species